AGGAAUCUUGCGCAAUGGGGGAAACCCUGACGCAGCAACGCCGCGUGAGUGAGGAAGGUUUUCGGAUCGUAAAGCUCUGUCAGGUGGGAAGAAAUGUAUAAGGGUUAACAGCCUUUAUCCUUGACGGUACCACCAGAGGAAGCACCGGCCAACUCCGUGCCAGCAGCCGCGGUAAUACGGGGGGUGCAAGCGUUGUUCGGAAUCAUUGGGCGUAAAGAGCGUGUAGGCGGCUGGAUAAGUCAGAUGUGAAAGCCCUGGGCUCAACCUGGGAAGUGCAUUUGAAACUGUCCUGCUAGAGUAAGGGAGAGGGAAGUGGAAUUCCUGGUGUAGAGGUGAAAUUCGUAGAUAUCAGGAGGAACACCGGUGGCGAAGGCGACUUCCUGGCCCUAUACUGACGCUGAGACGCGAGAGCGUGGGGAGCAAACAGGAUUAGA
rnacentral:rRNA from 1 species